CACACACACAGACACACCCACGGUUUGUUCACUGGUGUAUGUCGUGCUCCUUGUCCGUGUGUUUGUACACCAUGACAGGGAUGUGGGCGUGAUGAACCAGGUAAUCACUGACACUCCCCAUCAACGUCCGCCGGAGCUUCCCCAGACCACGUGACCCGGUUACUAGGAAAUCCACGUUCAUCUCCUUGGUUUUUUCCACAAUCUGGUGACCCGGAUCACCUCCCUGUAUCCUGACUACUUCUCCCGUCAUCUGAAACACUCUUACCCGGAAGUAUUUCAACGAGCUCAACCUGAGCCUCUGCACUUCCAGCAUUGUUGGACACCUUACAGGUGUAAAUACCGAAGUCCCCAGAUUCCAGAGAUUGGAUGGCCAUGAAGUAGGUGACGACAUUGGAUGAGGUAUUGUGAGCGGAGAAGGUGAUUCGAUCAUCUCGUACAAUUCGCCUCCCCUUGUAAAACCACUUUACUUUCCCCAGAGAAUGUCCUUCUACCAUGCAUUGAAGCUUGGUAGGUUUCCCUUGCUCUUGUUUUAUUUGUUUCAUGGACACUGUUAUGAUUGGCAUUACUGUCAAUGACAAAAUUAAAUAAAAUAUAAAUUUCAUUCAGUUCAACAAAGACUGUAUUGGGCUUUUACCCUACUACUAAAAAGAAAACUGUUUUUUGAUGGUAGUGAAAAUAACUGAACGGUGUAUUUAACCAAAUUCUUUUUGACGUUUUGAGUUACACAACAGUAAUAUACACUGCAGUUUAUCUAGCAGUUGCUGUAUAUCAAUAGAUUCCAUAAUUUUUUUUGGUGAUAACAUACAGCAUGCAGGGACAACAUUGCAAGAGUGAUGUAUUUACAGUACAGAUCUGUCUCAUAAUUUUACACAUCAAACACUGCUGUUCCGGGACCUUUAUCCAAAGAACAUCAACCUUACAUUCAACAUUGAUGCGGAAGUGUCUGUCUGCCUUGGGUUGAAUUCCAUUAUCUGCCUGACAGAUGUAAAUUCCUCCAGAGUCCUCAGACAGUGUCAAAGAGAAAUAGGCGCCUGUUAUCCCGAGGUCUACAAAACAAAAUGUAAAGAUAUUUUAGUACUUGUAUUAUUUGUGUUAUUAAGAACACGUAGUCGUCGCAUAACAUGUACAAUUUACAUAUUGUAUAUUUCACUGUGAUUAAUUUAUCUUUAUUUAUUGAAGUUCAUCUUUUGUACAUUUUUCUACCUAUCUAUAUUUUGUCAUGUAUGCUGUAUUGUACUUAACUUUCAAUAUCUAUAUUGUGUUUGACCGAUUCCUCGUGUUUUUAUAAUAACAUCAAUGAAUACUAACAACAAUAAAUACUUGUUUCACGAUUG
rnacentral:sRNA from 1 species